rnacentral:lncRNA from 1 species
UGAAGUACUCCUCACUACCAGCUCCAGCUCAGGGGCAAGUGCAAGAACCUGGGCUAUCCAGCCUGGGAAAAAAAGAAGUCUCCGGAAACGCAGUGGCUGUCUUCAGUAGAACUGCCCUUGAAACUGGGAUCUUCACGGUGCAGCAGAGGCCAAGUGGGCAGCUGAGGCGGUCACGCGCGCCCUCCUCACCUUGGCUUGCAGCUCCGUGUGGAUGUCCCAUGUCCAGCUUUCUCCAGCAGCUCCACCUGGGACUCAGCGAUGCAUCAAGCCAUCCAUCUGCCACGGUACAGCAGGAGUUAGAGGCCUUGGGAGAGGAGGCGUUGCUAACUGCUCCGCAACGUGACCCCUCAUCAGCAGGAACCCCAUCAGCCAGGGCAGGUAAGGGACUCCCUGCUCUGUCAGGCAUGUGGGUCAUCAGGUGGACGGCGGGCCAGGAGAAGGGCACUGGGAAGGGGGGGGCGGCUCUUGGCGGCAAGUGACAAAAACCCAACCUGCCCUGAACCCGGCCCAAAAGGGGGAUCCACCGGCUUGGUGACGUCAGGGCACCCUGGUGUCAGCUGCUUCUCCGUCCUCCCUCCUCCCUGCCGGGGCCCCUGGGAGCUUGCAGGCUUGCCUCUCCCCAGCCUCCCCCCUGGAGAGGAGGGUGCUCAGGCCUCUGCUCGGUCUGGAAGUACUUUGGGGAAGGACUUGGUCAUGCAGCAGGGGCUGAGUGCUGUAAAUCCGCAGCCCUCCCUGGGGCUGCAAGUGGGCGUACGGAUUGGCCAGUCCACCUGAGGUCUUAGAUCCCACCAGAUGGCCGUCUGCGCUGUUACUGACCAUGUCCUUAUAUCUCUAAUGUUACUAAUGUAUUUUUUUUAAUUUUAAACUUUUUAUUUUGAAAUUCUUUCAAACCUACAUAACAGAAAAAUAAUACAGAUCCCACAUAGAAAACCCCAACCUCCCCUUACCCUCCUAGAUCACCAAUUUUGCCGCUCUGCCCUAUCGUUCCCAUAUCUCUUGUUCACUUUUGCAGUCAGUGGGGUUAGCACCCCGACACGUGCCUCGUGGACACCCCCCCGCCCCCCAGGAAACCACUCAGUAUUACCAGGUUCUUCAAAUUCACCGCCCCACCAACUGAAUAAAUGCUCCAGUACUUCCAGAUGUCCUAAGAUUGCUCAUGCUUCACAAAAUACUGGUUCACUUGGUCACAACUUAAUUCAUGUUUGUGAUUUAUCUUCUUUUUUUCCCCUCAGGGGUGAUAAAUGUCCAGUGACCCUCGUGUAGGGUUCCUCAAAAUAUUUUUGAUGUUAAAGAGAUUCUUCACGCUCAGAGAAAUGGGAACCCCCGUUUUUUUGUUUAAUGUGUAGCAGUUACACAGUUGCCCAAUUUUCUGAGGCAAGACGACCAGGCAACACCAGUGCACUUUUCUUAAAUGAAACAUCCUGUUUCCUAAAUAAAACUUCUAAAGAACAC